UCUAUUUCUCUUCUUUCCUCCCUUCUCUCUCGAAUGGAGUCGCGCAAAGAGUUGAACCCACCCAAAUUUCUCUCUCCCCUUACAGUUCAAACUUCAGAUCUUGUUAAGUCUUCUAGAUCGGUUGCCUGCUCCAGAGCAGCCAACACAGCGGCCGCCGGAACCAAAAAGCUCUCUUGCGGUUUCAAUAAAACAAGUCCCUUGAUCAUCUCUUUCUCUCGCUCUCGCAACAAUCAGUUAGCAAGAGAGAGGUCAUGGCUAUGAAAUUAGAAAUAAGGUUUUCGUACUGGAGAUCCCUCCGUCGAAAUUGUAGCCUUCGAUUAGCUUAUUACUAUUUCGUCAAUACCUAUAUAUGUUUCUCCUCUCUCUUCUCUCCUCCCUUAUCUCUCGAAUGGGGUCACGCAAAUGGAUCUCCUGUUGCAAAUAAGUUCAGGCUGGGACGAAAGAUCGGUCUCCCAAAUGGUACGAGUCUAGCACCAAGGAGAUGUAGUGAAGGAGCUCCUGCUUUUUACUACCAAGGAGCAAUUACAUGAAGAAUCGGCUAUGGUCAAGGACAUUGCAUAUUGCUGCCAGUCAAGGCUACUUAGGCACUCAACAGAUGGUGAGUUUGCUCUUAUGGUGCUUAUGGCAUACCUUCCAUGUAUACAAAACUACAAAAGGCUCAGGUUCCCCGAAAUCUCCUCGUCAUCUUCAAUAUUGUAUAUUUUCACAUCUUAUUGACUUUGACACAUAUAGUUAAAUCAUGAUGAUAGAUUCUGCAUGAAUUGAUGCUAUUAUAUUUUUUACUUGCAAUCUUACUGUAGGUGAUAAUUAUAUGGUGGGGUGGUCUAAUGAGAGGUGCCAUGUCUAUAAUGCUUGCUUAUAAUCACGCAAGUUGUGGGACAAAAUUAUUUCUUUAGAUAUGUUUUAGGUUUAAAAAUUAAAACUACUCAAGUAUGUUAAGGGAGGAAACAAAUGAGCAAUCUUGUUAGUUACAGUAUCGUCUAAUCAACAUCUAAUGUAUACCAACGUGUAGGAUUGAUGAAAAGCGCUUGUCCAGGAAUCUACAUACUGAUGCUCUUACCAUGGUUGAAUAUUUGUUGCUUUGACAAGUCGAGCUUGAAAGCUAGGUACCGAAUUUGGUCAUGAAAGAGCACACUGAAAAGAUUGUGUCAUUGCAGGUUGUUAGCAUCAAAGAAGAGUUGCAGCUGCUGGAUGAAGAGUCUUUGUGUUUAUGUAUUGAUGAUUAAAUUUGUAGUUAGUAUUGUAGUACACAUAUAGAAUACAGUACAUUGUACAGUAUAAUAAUUAAAGGUGCCCACUAGCACCUGAUUUUUUUUUAA